ensembl:lncRNA
UAUUAAAAGAUGCAACUAGGAAGGGCAUCUGGCUUAAAAAUUAGACUCAAAACUCAAAUGCAACUCAGUUUAUCAGAACCACAUAAUUAGUCCUGAUGACUCCAGAAACAAUGAAAUAUAAAAAUUUGACAUUUUAAAUUCAAAUUAUUCCCACAAAACUCUGGAUAUUUCGUGACACGAUUCUGUUUUUUAAGUGAUGUUUCACCGUCAGACCUGGUGAUUCGGCCUGUGAAAUAUGCAAACAUUUCCAGUUCGAGUUUCGAGCUUUUUGAGCAUUUUAGCCCUUUACCAUUUCAUGUUUCAGAGAUUCACGUCUUUGUCCAGACACUGAAAUGAGGUUUAACAGUGCUUAGCGUUACAAGUGGAAGCAGAGAACAUAUUUACACCCAAGAGAACACAACAUGUUUGGUUUGAGUGUUGUAGUGUAGAGGGAGUCGCCAAAGACACAGAGAGGGCUGAAACGUUCACAGAGAGGCCUUAAACGUUACAGGGAGGCCUUAAACGUUACAGAGGCCCGAAACGUUACAGAGGCCUUAAACGUUCACAGAGAGGCCUUAAACGUUACAGAGAGAGGCCUCAAAUGUUACCGAGAGGCCUUAAACGUUCUGAGAGGCCUUAAUCGUUACAGACUUUGUGAAGUAAAUGUAAAAACAAAAUCCCCGUUUCCUUAAUUGCGUCAAAAUGGAGAAAAUGGAAGAGAGUGAACCUUUGGCGACAUAUCUGAGAUCACAGCAAACGAGCCGAACAGCACGGCCACAAGCUGAAUACAACCGGAACAGGAGCUAAAACAGGGAUUAAACAGGAGCUAAAACAGGCAUUAAACAGGAAAAAACAGUAGCUAAACCAGGGCUAAACCAAGGCUAAAAUGCCUAUACUGAGGCUAAAACAAUGGGUAAACCAGGAACUAAAACAGGGACAGGGCUAAGCCAAGGCUAAACCAGGGCUAAACCAGGGCUAAAACAGGGCUAACUGGUCUAAACCAAAGACAAAACCAAGUGGCUUUCUGGUCUAGCCAAGGACUAAAAUCAGCUUUAAACCAGAUUGACCCGGGCCCAAAUUGAACCAGGUUUAACCCAGGACUAAAUCAGACUAAAUCUGGACUAAAACCCCCCCUAAAAGUGAGAUUUGGAGCUGCUGACCCAGUCUUCUACAUAUGAAUUUCUUUCAGUUCAAAUUCGUUAUGCACUUUAACUUACUGAUUCAGUAAUUUCCUAUAAUUCCCCAUUUUAAAAGGAGCAGCUGUGAAGACCUAAUGCUGUUUACCUGCCUGUUUACCUGCCUGUUUACCUGCCUGUUUACCUGCCUGUUUACCUGCCUGUUUACCUGCCUGUGGUCGCAAUGUUUUGACCGAUGGCUGUGUUAAACUGUAUACAAAUGCUGCCUUGAGAAUAAACAUGUAAAUAACAAAAACUGUUGUGCAGGCACUGAUAUCCCAGAGGAGCUGAGCGCCCCAGUGUGGUUUACUGCAAAAUAACGUCUCAAACAGCGUCACAUCUACAUAAAAAUACAGUAUCAUAAUAAAAAAAAACAAAGAGGUAGAAUACGACAGGAUGGCUGAGUUAUGGAGGUUGUGUGUUCAAACAUGGACCUGAACAAAUCCACGUUUUUGAUGUCCAGGCAUUCAAGCAGCAGAGUCGAGUUUUAAAUACAUUUAAACAUGAGUAAAUAGGCAGAAAAUGAAUAAUAGUCCAUAUAACAACAGUAUCUUUAAAGGACCCUUAUCAUAAUUGUAUCUUUAAAGGACGCGUAUCAUUACAAUAGUAUCUUUAAAGGACCCAUAUCAUUAUAAUAAUAUCUUUAAAGGAUCCUCUCGUCCCAGUGAUUCUCAAAUGGCCUGAAAAAGGGACCAAAACUCAGACUUUUGGAGCAAAGAUUUGACAAUUUAUAUAUUUGGCAUUUCUGGAAUAUUUUAAGGAAUUUUAUCAUUACGACGUUCGAAAAGGAAGAGGUGAUUUUAAC